AGGAUGAACGCUGGCGGCGUGCUUAACACAUGCAAGUCGAACGAAGCACCUUGAUCCGAUUCUUCGGAUGAAGAUCUUGGUGACUGAGUGGCGGACGGGUGAGUAACGCGUGGGUAACCUGCCUCAUACAGGGGGAUAACAGUUAGAAAUGACUGCUAAUACCGCAUAAGACCACAGCACCGCAUGGUGCAGGGGUAAAAACUCCGGUGGUAUGAGAUGGACCCGCGUCUGAUUAGGUAGUUGGUGGGGUAACGGCCUACCAAGCCGACGAUCAGUAGCCGACCUGAGAGGGUGACCGGCCACAUUGGGACUGAGACACGGCCCAAACUCCUACGGGAGGCAGCAGUGGGGAAUAUUGCACAAUGGGGGAAACCCUGAUGCAGCGACGCCGCGUGAGCGAUGAAGUAUUUCGGUAUGUAAAGCUCUAUCAGCAGGGAAGAAAAUGACGGUACCUGACUAAGAAGCACCGGCUAAAUACGUGCCAGCAGCCGCGGUAAUACGUAUGGUGCAAGCGUUAUCCGGAUUUACUGGGUGUAAAGGGAGCGUAGACGGAGUGGCAAGUCUGAUGUGAAAACCCGGGGCUCAACCCCGGGACUGCAUUGGAAACUGUCAAUCUAGAGUACCGGAGAGGUAAGCGGAAUUCCUAGUGUAGCGGUGAAAUGCGUAGAUAUUAGGAGGAACACCAGUGGCGAAGGCGGCUUACUGGACGGUAACUGACGUUGAGGCUCGAAAGCGUGGGGAGCAAACAGGAUUAGAUACCCUGGUAGUCCACGCCGUAAACG
rnacentral:rRNA from 1 species